UGGGGAAUUUUGGACAAUGGGGGCAACCCUGAUCCAGCAAUGCCGCGUGAGUGAAGAAGGCCUUCGGGUUGUAAAGCUCUUUUGUCAGGGAAGAAAUCGUCCGGGCUAAUACCCUGGGCGGAUGACGGUACCUGAAGAAUAAGCACCGGCUAACUACGUGCCAGCAGCCGCGGUAAUACGUAGGGUGCAAGCGUUAAUCGGAAUUACUGGGCGUAAAGCGUGCGCAGGCGGUUUUGUAAGACUGUCGUGAAAUCCCCGGGCUUAACCUGGGAAUGGCGAUGGUGACUGCAAGGCUAGAGUUUGGCGGAGGGGGGUAGAAUUCCACGUGUAGCAGUGAAAUGCGUAGAGAUGUGGAGGAACACCGAUGGCGAAGGCAGCCCCCUGGGUCAAGACUGACGCUCAUGCACGAAAGCGUGGGGAGCAAACAGGAUUAGAUACCCUGGUAGUCCACGCCCUAAACGAUGUCUACUAGUUGUCGGGUUUUAAUUAACUUGGUAACGCAGCUAACGCGUGAAGUAGACCGCCUGGGGAGUACGGUCGCAAGAUUAA
rnacentral:rRNA from 1 species